rnacentral:rRNA from 1 species
CCUACGGGAGGCAGCAGUAGGGAAUUUUCGUCAAUGGGCGCAAGCCUGAACGAGCAAUGCCGCGUGAACGAGGAAGGUCUUCGGAUCGUAAAGUUCUGUUGAAGGGGAAAAAGAGCGGAGAGAGGAAAUGCUUUCUGAUUGAUAUUACCCUUCGAGGAAGUCACGGCUAACUACGUGCCAGCAGCCGCGGUAAUACGAAGGUGGCGAGCGUUAGCCGGAAUGAUGGGGCGUAAAGGGUGCGUAGGCGGCCUGCUAAGUCUGGAGUGAAAGGUACCGGCUCAACCGGUACAGGCUCUGGAAACUGGCGGGCUAGCGAGCAGGAGAGGGCGGUGGAACUCCAUGUGUAGCGGUAAAAUGCGUAGAUAUAUGGAAGAACACCAGUGGCGAAGGCGGCCGCCUGGCCUGUUACUGACGCUGAGGCACGAAAGCGUGGGGAGCAAAUAGGAUUAGAUACCCGAGUAGUC